rnacentral:rRNA from 1 species
UACGGAGGAUGCAAGCGUUAUCCGGAAUGAUUGGGCGUAAAGCGUCCGCAGGUGGCAAUGUAAGUCUGCUGUCAAAGCGUCUGGCUCAACCAGAUAAAGGCAGUGGAAACUACAUAGCUAGAGUAAGGUAGGGGUAGAGGGAAUUCCUGGUGUAGCGGUGAAAUGCGUAGAGAUCAGGAAGAACACCGGUGGCGAAAGCGCUCUGCUGGACCUUAACUGACACUGAGGAGCGAAAGCGUGGGGAGCGAACAGG